CCUGGAAUGGCGCAAAUUGGCGGCUGGGCGGAGGCGCCGAGGAAGGCAGCGAAAAAGCCCAAAGAUAGAGCCGUAGAUUCGAAGCAAUUAGAACGGAGACCGCAAACAUGGCCCUGACCUGCCGGCCCCAAGAUGCCAGAAACAGACUUUUCCUGGUAUAUAAGAACCGCCUUGUUGGAUUUGUCCAAAGGUCCAUCAGGCCAGAGUUUUAUCUCAAUGAACCUGGGCAUCAUCGCCUGACCACUCCACCUCCAUCUCCAGCCACUCGCUGGUCCAAAGGAUCCGACGACG